GGUUGGUUAUGAUGAGAGAGAGUCCCUGAUUCAUGAGACUUUUUGGUUCUAAAUCAAUUUGCUUCAGAUUUGACUCGUUUUGGAUCCGAUUCGAACCAAAUUCGAAAAGCCUGUCAAUUCUAAUCUAAUUAAGAUUCUGGUCCAAAUCUAACUUAGAUUUUUAAUCCAAUUUAAGUCUAAUUAAAUUAGAUAUAAUCUAAAAUUAAUUAAAAUAUAAAUUCA
rnacentral:lncRNA from 1 species